rnacentral:rRNA from 1 species
GACGUGACUUCAGAGUUUGAUCCUGGCUCAGGACGAACGCUGGCGGCUGCCUAAUACAUGCAAGUAGAACGCUGAAGGAGGAGCUUGCUCUUCUGGAUGAGUUGCGAACGGGUGAGUAACGCGUAGGUAACCUGCCUGGUAUGGGGGAUAACUAUUGGAAACGAUAGCUAAUACCGCAUAAUAACAGUUGUUGCAUGACAACUGUUUGAAAGGUGCAAUUGCAUCACUACCAGAUGGACCUGCGUUGUAUUAGCUAGUUGGUGGGGUAACGGCUCACCAAGGCGACGAUACAUAGCCGACCUGAGAGGGUGAUCGGCCACACUGGGACUGAGACACGGCCCAG